rnacentral:snRNA from 1 species
ACAAAAAGUAUAUAGUAUUGUAUU